UACGGGGGGGAGCAAGCGUUGUUCGGAUUUACUGGGCGUAAAGGGCGCGUAGGCGGCGUGACAAGUCACUUGUGAAAUCUCCGGGCUUAACUCGGAACGGUCAAGUGAUACUGUCGUGCUAGAGUACAGGAAGGGCACUGGAAUUCUCGGUGUAGCGGUGAAAUGCGUAGAUAUCGAGAGGAACACCUGCGGCGAAGGCGGGUUGCUGGGCUGAUACUGACGCUGAGGCGCGAAAGCGUAGGGGAGCGAACGGG
rnacentral:rRNA from 1 species